AACGAACGCUGGCGGCAUGCCUAACACAUGCAAGUCGAACGGGAUCCUGACUUCGGUUGGGUGAGAGUGGCGGACGGGUGAGUAACGCGUGGGAACCUGCCCAGUGGUGGGGGAUAACUGCGGGAAACUGCAGCUAAUACCGCAUGAGCCCGAGAGGGGAAAGAUUUAUCGCCGUUGGAGGGCCCGCGUUCGAUUAGGUAGUUGGUGAGGUAACGGCUCACCAAGCCUUCGAUCGAUAGCUGGUCUGAGAGGAUGAUCAGCCACACUGGGACUGAGAUACGGCCCAGACUCCUACGGGAGGCAGCAGUGGGGAAUAUUGGACAAUGGGGGGCAACCCUGAUCCAGCAAUGCCGCGUGAGUGAUGAGGGCCUUAGGGUUGUAAAGCUCUUUCAGAUGGGAAGAGUAAUGACGGUACCAUCAGAAGAAGCCCCGGCUAACUCCGUGCCAGCAGCCGCGGUAAU
rnacentral:rRNA from 1 species